rnacentral:rRNA from 1 species
GGAUUAGGCAUGCAAGUCGCACGAGAAAGGUUUCUUCGGAAGCCGAGUACAGUGGCGAACGGGUGAGUAAUGCAUAGACAACUCGCCCUUGAGAUGGGGACAACGCCUCGAAAGGGGUGCUAAUACCCAAUGCCGCCUUGGGCCUGCGGGUCCAGGGUGAAAGGAGGCCUCUGAUUCAAGCUUCCGCUCAAGGAGAGGUUUAUGUCCUAUUAGCUAGUUGGCGGGGUAACGGCCCACCAAGGCUGCGAUGGGUAGCCGACCUGAGAGGGUGACCGGCCACAUUGGGACUGAGACACUGCCCAGACUCCUACGGGAGGCUGCAGUCGAGAAUCUUCCGCAAUGCGCGCAAGCGUGACGGAGCGACGCCGCGUGGGUGAUGAAGGCCUUCGGGUUGUAAAACCCUGUCAGCUACUACGAAACACGGGCGAUGAACAAUCGUCCCGUCUGACUUAAGUAGCAGAGGAAGCACCGGCUAACUACGUGCCAGCAGCCGCGGUAAUACGUAGGGUGCAAACGUUGUUCGGAAUCACUGGGCAUAAAGGGCGCGUAGGCGGUCUGAUAAGUCAGGUGUGAAAUCCCUCGGCCUAACCGAGGAACUGCAUUUGAUACUGUCGGGCUAGAGUACAGGAGGGGAGAGUGGAAUUCCUGGUGGAGCGGUGAAAUGCGUAGAUAUCAGGAGGAACGCCGGCGGCGAAAGCGACUCUCUGGCCUGUUACUGACGCUGAGGCGCGAAAGCUAGGGGAGCAAACGGGAUUAGAUACCCCGGUAGUCCUGGCCCUAAACGAUGGGCACUAAGUAGAGGGGUUUU